ACCCCAAGUUCUGUUUAUCUACAUAACUAAAGGAAAAUGUGGCUUGUGCACAUCCGCCUCGUAGAGUGACAGACGGUGUAUUCUAUCCAGUUCGAUUGAAUGCUGAAGCUGUGCCGGUUCCUAGACCUGCCAUGACCACGGAACCGAACAACCAUAAUAAUAAUAUAGAGACCACCUGCUCGAUCGAGCCGGUGACAGAUACCGUCAAGGUAAUUCUCUCUCCUUCAUGAACUUCAUUUGGUGUGCCAGUGCGCAAAGAUCAAUGGAUUGCUUCCAUUGGUUUCAACGUACAUAAAAUGGGCCAUGUGGAGCAUUCACUGAGUGCAAGCAAACUCCCCGCGUGUGCCUUUUCUUCUGAUAUGAAGGACUUUUGACUAUCGGUGUUUCAUUUUCAUCGGUACCAAUUUCGAGCCGAGCGAUUUUUCGCUACUUUGUUUCCCCGAAAUUCCAGCAACGCUACCGCUACUAUCACUGCAGCUCCUUGGUUGUCGACAAUCCUGCGACGGGGUAACUGGUAAAUGGAUAGGAGGGAUCUCGGCCUUCCGACUGGCUACAGCUGGCCCGCGAACGGGACGUUAGCGGCACAAGAGCGAACUAAAGCGGAAAAGCACGAGAAAGCCGUCGCCGAGCAGCGUCAUAAACGAGCCUUUGAUCCUCAAAUAUGGAAAACAAAGUAGUUCUCUACUCCUGGUUUUGUCGUCUUCGCCUUCCCACUAGCCUUUGGAGACAGCCCGUGAUGGCCCUCAGCAGCUUGUAGAAAUGACGGAGUUUUCCCAAAUUCUCUGCUUCUCUUGUUUUUCAUUCUUCCCCUUCUAACCCAAGUUCUCCAUUCUUUCUCUUUACAUUCUAAGCCUAUCGCCUAUCCCACCUACUCAGUUUUUCUGGCAGCGUUUCUUCAGAUCUGUCUGGUUGCACUAGGCCGACUGAUACUUAUUUGCGUUCCGUUUUCCCAGUCGGGGUCUCUCAAAUGCUGGAUUAUACCCCUCACGUUUUAAGUACGAAAAUGGUGCCAAUCAGAUCUGCUAUACCGAUAUUGUGUUCGCAUUAACGAUGAUGGCUUUCAAAAUAUGAGGUCACGGCCAACGCAUAUCACUUAAUAAAAUUUCAUUUGUGCUUAAUCCAUUCGCGUCCAAUCCAAACGCACGACAACGAGCAUCUCCCAUUUGAUGAAACAAGCUGCGUACAUAGUACCUCAAAUCCCGGUAAGAUUCUUUAUAGACACAUCAAUUCAUCUGAGGAAGUACGCUGCCAUAAACUGUGAAGUAGGUUGCACACACACUACAGACCAAGUUAUCGCAUCCUUGCAACAAGCGUUGAUAAGACAAUCUAACUGGCCUAUAGUAAAAUAACUAUUAAGCGACCAUUCUUUGCGACCGUUUCGCCGAUAGCGACCGUUUCAUUGUUAAAAUGAGGCUUUGCUUUAUUUGAGGCCCGUUCGUGAUCUUGAUACGGAUAAGAACCCCAGUUGAUAAACGC